AGUGAACGCUGGCGGUAGACCUAACACAUGCAAGUCGAACGGCAGCACAGUAAGAGCUUGCUCUUACGGGUGGCGAGUGGCGGACGGGUGAGGAAUACAUCGGAAUCUACUUUUUCGUGGGGGAUAACGUAGGGAAACUUACGCUAAUACCGCAUACGACCUACGGGUGAAAGCAGGGGAUCUUCGGACCUUGCGCGAUUGAAUGAGCCGAUGUCGGAUUAGCUAGUUGGCGGGGUAAAGGCCCACCAAGGCGACGAUCCGUAGCUGGUCUGAGAGGAUGAUCAGCCACACUGGAGCUGAGACACGGUCCAGACUCCUACGGGAGGCAGCAGUGGGGAAUAUUGGACGAUGGGCGCAAGCCUGAUCCAGCCAUACCGCGUGGGUGAAGAAGGCCUUCGGGUUGUAAAGCCCUUUUGUUGGGAAAGAAAAGCAGCAGGUUAAUACCCCGCUGUUCUGACGGUACCCAAAGAAUAAGCACCGGCUAACUUCGUG
rnacentral:rRNA from 1 species